rnacentral:rRNA from 1 species
AUUGAACGCUGGCGGCAUGCCUUACACAUGCAAGUCGAACGGUAACAGGUUAAGCUGACGUGUGGCGAACGGGUGAGUAAUGUAUCGGAACGUGCCCAGUCGUGGGGGAUAACUGCUCGAAAGAGCAGCUAAUACCGCAUACGACCUGAGGGUGAAAGCGGGGGAUCGCAAGACCUCGCGCGAUUGGAGCGGCCGAUAUCAGAUUAGGUAGUUGGUGAGGUAAAGGCUCACCAAGCCGACGAUCUGUAGCUGGUCUGAGAGGACGACCAGCCAGACUGGGACGGGGACACGGCCCAGAAGCCUCAGGGAGGCGGCAGUAGGGGAUCUGGGGAAAGGGACGAAAGGCGGACCGAGCAACGCCGAGUGAGUGAAGAAGGGUUUCGGAGCGUAAAGCUCUGUUGUAAGAGAAGAAAGGGUGUGAGAGUGGAAAGUUCACACUGUGACGGGAUCUUACAAGAAAGGGACGGCUAACUACGUG